rnacentral:rRNA from 1 species
AUUGAACGCUGGCGGCAGGCCUAUCACAUGCAAGUCGAGCGGAAGAAGGGAGCUUGCUCCUGGAUUCAGCGGCGGACGGGUGAGUAAUGCCUAGGCACCUGCCUGGUGGUGGAGGAUAAGGUCCGGACAAGGGCGCUCAUACCGCAUACGUCCUGAGGGAGCAAGUGGGUCAUAUUCGGACCUCACGCUAUCAGCUGCGCCUAGGUCGGAGUGACUAGUUGGUGGGGUAAUGGCCUACCAAGGCGACGAUCAGUAACUGGUCUGAGAGGCUGAUCAGGCACACAGGAACCUAGACACAGUCCAGACUCCUACGGGAGGCAGCAGUGGGGAAUAUAGCACAAUGGGGGAAAGCCUAAUCCAGCCAUCCCGCGUCAGUGACGAAGGGCCUCAGAUUUUACAGCACUCUAAGUUGGGGGGAAGGGCAGUAAGAUAAUACCUUGCUGUUCUGACGUUACCAACAAAAUAAGCACCGGCUACCUUCGUG